GAUGAACGCUAGCGGCAGGCCUAAUACAUGCAAGUCGGACGGGAUUCGGGAGCUUGCUCUUGAUGAGAGUGGCGCACGGGUGCGUAACACGUAUGCAACCUACCUUUACCAGGGGGAUAGCCUCUCGAAAGAGAGAUUAACACCGCAUAAAAUUAGUUUAUGGCAUCAUAAAUUGAUCAAAUAUUUAUAGGGUAAAGAUGGGCAUGCGGAACAUUAGCUAGUUGGUAAGGUAACGGCUUACCAAGGCGACGAUGUUUAGGGGAUCUGAGAGGAUGACCCCCCACACUGGUACUGAGACACGGACCAGACUCCUACGGGAGGCAGCAGUAAGGAAUAUUGGUCAAUGGGCGCAAGCCUGAACCAGUCAUGCCGCGUGCAGGAAGACGGCCCUACGGGUUGUAAACUGCUUUUGUACGGGAAUAAACCCUGAUACGUGUAUCAGGCUGAAUGUACCGUAAGAAUAAGGAUCGGCUAACUCCGUGACAGCCGCCGCCUGUAA
rnacentral:rRNA from 1 species